UACGUAGGGGGCAAGCGUUGUCCGGAAUCAUUGGGCGUAAAGAGCGUGUAGGCGGCCAGAUAAGUCCGCUGUGAAAUCUCGAGGCUCAACUUCGAGCUGUCGGUGGAAACUGUCUGGCUAGAGUCCGGAAGAGGAGAAUGGAAUUCCUGGUGUAGCGGUGAAAUGCGCAGAUAUCAGGAAGAACACCCGUGGCGAAGGCGGUCUCUGGGACGGUACUGACGCUGGAGACGCGAAAGCUGGGGAGCGAACAGG
rnacentral:rRNA from 1 species